GGCCCCUCUGCUCCUAUUGACUCAUGAGUCACUAAAAUACUUUUCUAUGGUAGAAGUGGACAAGGGCUAUUCAAGAUAGGAGAUAAUACAACUUACGGGCUGUCAGAUGUCUAGUAAUUUUUCAGCAGUGCUUUGCAGAUUGAUGUUGAGUCAAGAAAGACCUAGAGCCUGACUCUCCUCAAACUCUAUGAGAUAUCUCUUAGUCCUGUUAGAAAUCUGCAAGGCAUCAGACAUUUGGAUCCCCAAGCAGAUAUGCCAACAUCCUCUUCCCCUUCCUUCCACAAAAGCACUCUGACCGGAAAAGCAGAUCCAGGAGCAACAGGAAAGCUCCUAGUCCUGUGUGUCCCUGAGAGGAAGAGACUGAUAUCAGAUCUGGUAGGACAUGAUACUCUUCAAUCUUGUCACCAUAACUUUCUCCUGGAGCCAUGGAAUGUAGCAGUGGUAUGAUCCGAUCCCGCCUGUCCCUGUCCUGCCCAAUACUUGAUAGCUGUUCUUUCCUAGUUCCAGAACCUGAUUGGACCAAGUUUAAGACCAAGGUAGGGAGUGGGAGGCAGAUAGGCAAUGCAAUGCUAUUCAACAUUUAAGAAUACUUCCCACUUACUUGUCCUUGUCAGGCCCUGGCCAUACAGACAGGCUGUACAAGACAUAGGCCCUGACCUCAGGGAGUAAAUGUUUUUAUUGAACUGACCCACUGUGUCUCUGAAUGAGAACAAAAAUGAAACUGCUGCAGAAAAACCCAGUGCUACAAAGUGCUAGCAUCAUCAGGAGGCAGGCUGCCUCUGCAGUGCAAUCCAUAAUCUCUGUGACUUCCAGAACCAAAAAAAAAAAAAAAAAAAAAGUUAAAUUACUUUCUAAAAUUAAGCUUUGCAUUACUUUGGAAACUAACAAAGCAUUCCUUCCCACAGACACUGUUCCCAAAU
rnacentral:lncRNA from 1 species